UACGAAGGGGGCGAGCGUUGUUCGGAAUCACUGGGCGUAAAGGGCGCGUAGGCGGUCCUCUUAGUCGCGUGUGAAAGCCCCGGGCUCAACCUGGGAACGGCGCGCGAAACGGGAGGGCUGGAGUUCGGGAGAGGAGAGUGGAAUUCCCAGUGUAGAGGUGAAAUUCGUAGAUAUUCGCAAGAACACCAGUGGCGAAGGCGGCUCACUGGCCCGAUACUGACGCUGAGGCACGGAAAGCGUGGGGAGCCAAACAGGG
rnacentral:rRNA from 1 species